rnacentral:lncRNA from 1 species
AUGGGCUCGAUAAAGGACAGAAAUAGUAUGGACCUAACAGAAGCAGAAGAUAUUAAGAAGAGGUGGCAAGAAUACACAGAAGAACUAUACAAAAAAGAUCUUCACGACCAAAAUAAUCACGAUGGUGUGAUCACUCACCUAGAGCCAGACAUCCUGGAAUGUGAAGUCAAGUGGGCCUUGGGAAGCAUCUCUAUGAACAAAGCUAGUGGAGGUGAUGGAAUUCCAGUUGAGCUAUUUCAAAUCCUGAAGGAUGAUGCUGUGAAAGAGCUGCACUCAAUAUGCCAGCACAUUUGGAAAACUCAGCAGUGGCCACAGGACUGGAAAAGGUCAGUUUUCAUUCCAAUCCCAAAGAAAGGUAAUUCCAAAGAAUGCUCAAACUACUGCACAAUUGCAUUCAUCUCACACGCUAGUAAAGUAAUGCUCAAAAUUCUCCAAGCCAGGCUUCAGCAGUACGUGAACCAUGAACUUCCUGAUUUUCAAGCUUGUUUUAGAAAAGACAGAGGAACCAGAGAUCAAACUGCCAACAUCCACUGGAUCACUGAAAAAGCAAAAGAGUUCCAGAAUAACAUCUACUUCUGCUUUAUUGACUAUGCCAAAGCCUUUGACUGCGUGGAUCACAAUAAACUGUGGAAAAUUCUGAAAGAAGUGGGAAUACCAGACCACCUGACCUGCCUCUUGAGAAACCUAUAUGCAGGUCAGGAAGCAACAGUUAGAACUGGACAUGGAACAACAGACUGGUUCCAAAUAGGAAAAGGAGUACAUCAAGGCUGUAUAUUGUCACCCUGCUUAUUUAACUUCUAUGCAGAGUACAUCAUGAGAAACGCUGGGUUGGAGGAAGCACAAGCUGGAAUCAAGAUUGCCAGGAGAAAUAUCAAUAACAUCAGAUAUGCAGAUGACAACACCCUUAUAGCAGAAAGUGAAGAGGAGCUAAAAAGCCUCUUGAUGAAAGUGAAAGAGGAGAGUGAAAAAGUUGGCUUAAAGCUCAACAUUCAGAAAACGAAGAUCAUGGCAUCCGGUCCCAUCACUUCAUGGGAAAUAGAUGGGAGUGAAAACUGUCAGACUUUAUUUUUGGGGGGCUCCAAAAUCACUGUAGAUGGUGAUUGCAGCCAUGAAAUUAAAAGACACUUACUCCUUGGAAGGAAAGUUAUGACCAACCUAGAUAGCAUAUUCAAAAGCAGAGACAUUACUUUGCCAACAAAGGUCCGUCUAGUCAAGGCUAUGGUUUUUCCAGUGGUCAUGUAUGGGUGUGAGAGUUGGACUGUGAAGAAAUCUGAGCGCCGAAGAAUUGAUGCUUUUGGACUGUGGUGUUGGAGAAGACGCUUGAGAGUCCCUUGGACUGCAAGGAGAUCCAACCAGUCCAUUCUAAAGGAAAUCAGUCCUGUGUGUUCUUUGGAAGCACUGAUGCUAAAGCUGAAACUCUAA